rnacentral:rRNA from 1 species
GACGAACGCUGGCGGCGUGCCUAAUACAUGCAAGUAGAACGCUGAAGCGAGGAGCUUGCUCUUCUUGGAUGAGUUGCGAACGGGUGAGUAACGCGUAGGUAACCUGCCUUGUAGCGGGGGAUAACUAUUGGAAACGAUAGCUAAUACCGCAUAACAAUGGAUGACACAUGUCAUUUAUUUGAAAGGGGCAAUUGCUCCACUACAAGAUGGACCUGCGUUGUAUUAGCUAGUAGGUGAGGUAAUGGCUCACCUAGGCGACGAUACAUAGCCGACCUGAGAGGGUGGGCAGCCGCACUGGGAGUGAGACACGGCCCAGAGGCCUACGGGAGGCAGCAGGAGGGAAACGUGAGCAAUGGGUGCGACACUGACCGCGAAACGCCGCGUGAGGGAAGAAGGUCUUCGGAUCGUAGAGCUCGGUUGUAAGGCAAGAAAGGGUGUGAGAGUGGAAAGUUGACACUGUGACGGUAGCUGAUCAGAAAGGGACGGCUAACUACGUG